CUAUGUAAACCCUUUCCUCCCUGCCACCUGGAGAGUGGGUUUCAUAUUUACGGAUGAGGAAGCUGAAGCCCUGACAGGACGUGACACAGCUCCGAAAUGGGGAAGCCGAGAUCUGAGCCAGGGCUGCCGUGGCUGGGUCCCCAGGCCAGGCUGACUUCAGCACUGACACAACUAGGAAAAGAAGCAUUCCCGCCCGCAGACGAGCAGAGAAUGGCUUAUUUUACAAUGUGACCAGGGGAGAGUUAUCUUUCUCAGGUUUGCCGGGCCCCAUGGGAAAGGGGGAUUGCUUUAUGCCACCCUUCAGAGUGUCAGCAUGUACCAACACGGUCACCUCACUGGAAGGAGAUUAAAAUGAUACAGGUGGGUGGCAUCCCUGUUUAGGCUGCAGCCCAGCUGCCCAGGAGUCAGGAGGAAGGCCUUCUCCAUGGGCGCUGCAUGCCAGCCCCACGGUGCCAGUAGCCAGGCAGGUCGGGCAGCUGGGCCCAGCUCAGGCUCUGAGAUGAGUUUGCUGUGGGAGCUGCUCUCCUCCUGACCCCAUUCCCCCCAUCAGUUCAGCCAGGCCAAUGGGCAGGUAGUGACUAUUCACUGGAGUCCCUGGGGAGCUUUCAAGCUUUAAAAACAGGACUAACGCCCAGCUUCAGGCCCAGAGAUUCCGACCUAAUUUGUUUGAGGUGGGACCUGGUUAUUGGUGCUUUAUCACAAUGUUGGCUGAUGCCUCCAAAUAAUUAUAGAGUCUCUGAGAUGGAGGGGAGGGGUGCAGCAAGGGCUGUGUGUUCCAUACAGUAGCCACCAGCCACAGAGGCCGGUUUAAAUUUAAACUGAUAAAAAUCAAACAAAAGUGAAAAUUCAGUUCCCUAAAUGUUCACUGGGACCGCCAUGUGACUAGUGACAACUGAAUUGGCCAGCAAAGGGAUAGGACAUGUCUGUCACCACAGGGAAUUCUACUGGUCAGGGCUGAUCUGGACCCUAGAUUGUAGCCCACCUUGUCAUUUCUUAGACGGGAGGUGGGCCCCACAGGCGAGUGGCUUUCUCAUGGUCUCAUCGCCGAAUGAGGCCGGGUCCUGUGAUCCCGGCGUUCUGAGCUGCGUCCGGCACUUGCAGAGAAUUGAGGCAACAGUUUGGACUUUUGGACCUGAAGGUGUCCUGACUCACAUGUCUUCCUUCUUACUAUCUGCCUCUCCCACUAAAAUGUAAUGCUCAAUGUCUGGUCCCCUCUGCCAGCGCCUGGCACUCCUGGGUGCUCAAAUAAUUGUUGGCUGAAUGAAUGAAGAUCGGGAAGGGGGAAGGCAGAUGGAAUCAUGCAGCGAGCAAACAGAAGGCAGAGCAGCAGAAAUCUUUAAAAAGGCAGGUGGAGGAGGAGCAAGAUGAAAUGGCUGGAGCUGUACGAGGCAAACCAAGGCUGAGAGGGAGAAAGCAAGUCCUAGGAAGGAGGGUGACCACAGUGCCUAAUGCUGCUGAGACACCCAGAUAGGGACCCAAAGUGCAGGGGACACUGGGGGACAUCAGCAGCAUGCAGGCCGAGGCUAUUGGCUGUGUUUGGGUGGGACGUGUUUGCUCAGAGCCCCCGUCAGGGCCUGGCUGCACCCAGUCCUUCAGAACCUUCUAUGCCAGGAUAUGUCCCUAAGGACUGGCUGCCCCCGAUUCACAGAGGCCAGCACAGCAGACGCGGGGUUAUCGGAAGAUGUGUUCUCCCUGCGGCUUCCUUCGCUGCUGAACCAGGGUCUGAGACAGCUGAAGACUCAGCCUCCUUCUCGAGCCGGGGCCUCGCCAGUCCGCACCCUGGACUGGCCUUUGGGGGUUGCCUCUGAAGCCGCCAGGCCGCACAAGGGGGAAAAUGGAGCCCGCAGCCAGGAAACAUCAGCGCUCUGACGCAUCUUCACAGAAGGCUGCUGAUUUUAUCAGGAGGGGAUCAGAGCCAAGGCUGUUAUCUGAGGAGAGGCCUUGCUGGGCUGCUCAGAAGCGAGAAGCCCCCUCAGUGACCUCCACCUCCAGGCCCCAUAUCCUCGUCUUCAGGCCGAAGCUAAAUUUCAAAUGGAAGGUGUUUUUAGGAGAACAUCUAGUGGUUUUCAAAUAGUACUGUUUCAUUCUCUUUUCUUUUUCUCAAUUCCCAGUGGAACAUAUGACUAUUCAAGUUUUUUUUUAGUAUUCAGGAGGAUGAGGUAGGGGCAAUUAGAACAGUCAUUUAAAAUAUUCCACCCAAAUGCUGUGAAAGUGGUGUGCAAAUGAGAUCAAAUGAUCAGUGCUGGCGGGGCUCCCGCUGUGGGGAGCAAGCCGGUGCUCCUGGCUGCAAGUUGGAAUGUAGGAUAGGAUGAUGGCAGGAAGGUGCCCUCCCCACUUGCAGCACAGCUGAGAUGCUACAGAAUGCACUGACCCCCCUUAUAUUCCCAGCCUAGGUGGGCAGGGAGUCGGGAUUGCUCUCGGAGAAGCAAGCCCUCUCGCCUUUAGGGAAAUGGCCCAAAGUGCUCUGGGCGGACCGGUGGUCAGAUUGCUGAUUCCUCCGGGGGCUGGACCUGUGGCUCUGAAGUUGAGGGGACUCAGAGGAGGUCUCUCAGCUAAUGAGGGUGAAACUAGGAUUUGAACCCUGUCAUCCUGACUCUGACUCACAUGAGGUUUUACUUCAACAUUCUUCAGGAAGCAUCUUUGGGGAAGCUUUCCUCUUCUUUGAGACCCCGUUUUCCUAUCUGUAAACCGGGUUUGUUGGGAGGAAUAGCUGAGGAGUUUGUACACAGGGAUGCCUGCCUCAAAGCUGGCAGGGGUACUCUGGUGUGGCAGGGGCAGUGGGUAAGAGCCUGGCACUGGAGUCAGACCAUCUGGGCAUAAAUCCAGCUCUGAGACUCCCUCUGUGCCUGCGGGCAAAUGCCUUAACCUCUCUGAACCACACCACUGCAGAAUCUGUAGAAUGGAAUGAUGAUGCUCCCCUGUCUCCACCUCUCUCCAACUCUUAGAGCUGAGGAAGAGAAUCCACUGCGCAGGAUUCUGCAGGUGCAGUGUGUGCAUAAUCCCCUGCGGCACUGUUUGCCAGAAUCUCCAGGGAGUGGAUUUGAAAAAGCGCCCUGAGAUUUCUUCUCCUAAAGGGACCACAGAUGACUUGAGCGGCCGCCAGCAAAGAGCCCACUCCUCUGUGUCUCCAGGGCCCUGACGGCAAUGGCUUCCUGUCCGCCAGCUUUGAAGGUGGACCCAGAGCCAGGACUCAGAUAGCAGGCGACUUGUGUGAACCUGACAGCCCAGGGUCUCAGCACUCCCCUUAUCCACCCAGGGCUGCCCUUCCCUUGUCUCUGCAACCUCCCUAGUUCAGCAAAGCAUUGAUUGCAUGAUGCCUUGGUUAAGAUAUUUCAUUUGGGGGUGUAAUUAUUUCAAAGGCAAUUAAGUAUUCAAUAUCUCUUAUUCUGUCUGCCAGUAGGAAUUAAUAGAAAGCCUUUCAAUCAGGAAUAACUGCAAAACAAUUUCUGGCCCCAAAGAUAAUCAAUAUUACCCAGUAGAGCAUUCUUCUAUCUUCAGGAAGCUAUUCAUUUCUGGCACUUUCAAAACCAGAGGGGAACGUUCUAUUCCCAUCUUUGUCAGAAGCCCCUGGCCACAUCCUUUAUGUAGUCUUCAAAAAGACAGAAAUCCACAUGGCUUUUCUGACCAUCCAUAUCCGCGUCACCUUCCGGGAUGCUGGGAAUAGUCCUAAGAACCCAGCCCAGAGGGACAGUGGGUGAUGACCACGUUCUCAGGAAUACUAUUCACUGCCUUGCCCUGAGCCUCCUGACAGAUUUUCUGGGACCUGCAGUGGGAAUAUGAGACCCUUAACUGUGCCACCCAGUGAUACAUCCUGGGUGUCCCCCAGAGCCCACGGACCUGGCACCCUCCCAGGAGCCCUUCUGGAGCAACGAGUGGCAUCUCCCCCUCUUUCUUUCAUGAAGGCCCAGUCCCAGGGCUGGGCUCUGCCUCAGCUUUCCUGCUGUCAUAAGGACUAAGGUCUUGCCUGCUUGGCAAGGUCCAUGACAUCCUAUGCAGCCCUUGCCAGGCCCUGCCCAGGGUGGAGGAGGCUGGAUGUGGGGCAGGGGGCACAAGGAACAAAGUCUUAUUGCUGCAUCCUGCUCUCUCUUCCCCCCUUCCCCCCUAUUUUUCUUUGUUCAUACCAUGUUCUAUUCUUAAGUCUGGAAGAACUAUGAAGAACUCCCCCAAAAAUGGCAAUCGAUGGAAUGGGAAGAUUUUCAUAUGCUAAUAGGGACCGCUGAUUUGAGACCUCCAUUUACUUACAAAAGGGUAAGGAGGACUAAGGCAAUAAGGUCAUGGGGGACAUGCAGAGAAUGUUCUAGAACUGACAUGUCUUUUGCAUUGGCUUCUUAGAUGUAAGGCUUCCACUUUCACUGGAAUCACUGUAAUUUCUGCACUUGUCUUUACCCUCCGAGAGGGUGAAUGUCCCAUACCUUGGGGUCAUCUAUAAUGCUGGCCUCAGAAGGCUGUCUUGGAGAUGCUGUGGGAGUUUUGAAUGCUGACAGAAAAAUUACCAUCCAAGUGCCUCUUGGAAGGGGUGAAGAGGGGCCUAUGUGUCUUAAAGGUUUGAAAUAGGAGCACAUGGUGAGGGGGUCUCUACAGCCAGCUGAACACGAGGCUGCUGGUGAACUCUGAGGAAGCCUUGGGAAGCCACUUCUGGUCUGUGAUAAUGUGGGCUCCAUAGGCCUGCGGUUUCACUGGGCCAACAUAGAAAGCUCUUGAAAAACAACCUAUUUAAAUAGAACCCAAAGGUAUAAUAGUUACUUUAUAGAAGAGGAUAAAAUGUUAGGAAGCUAAAACUCACAGUAACAAAACGUUCAUUUCUACUAAUAGACCAGCAAGCCCCCCUCCUCCAGCCCUGCGCCUCCCCACCACUCCAGCUCAAUCUCUGCACUCAGUUCCUCGAAAGCCACGCUCCUUCCCUCUACAUAACAGGGACCUGACCCUUACAGAAAGGAGUACCCCCCCACAUUAUAGGUUCAGAGGUCAGGUGACUGCUUCACAGUCACCUGGUCAGGAAAUGGCAGAGCUCCAAUAUUAACUCAGGUGUGUGUGAGCCCACGUGCCUUCCCCAGCAGAGAUGCUCAGGAGGUUUUGGGUUCACCCUGCACAUAUGUCCCGUGAGUGCCCUGCGCAUUGGAGGUCCAUUUGCCGAAGGGUCAAUGAGCACCCAGAAUACAGCAGGCGUGUGGCUCUUCUGAGCUGCGCAUGAGACCUAGCCCCCUGAUUUUGUGAUUUGGUCUAUCCUCUGAAGUCCUCUCAUUACUGCUUCCUAGGGUUCUGGUCUGAGAUUUAACCCUUAGUUUAUUGGUAAAGGGAGGGAGGAGGGGAUGGCUGUGAUUGCCAGGUGUGUUGUCCCUUAACAAGCUCUCCAGUGACCGUGUUGACAAGUCAGGCAUGUCGCUGUCCUGUGGGUGGAGAGGGUGUGGAGCCUCGGGUGGGUGCCCUGUUGCAUUGGUUGGCUGAUGUCCUUGUAGCCCACGGCGCAUUCUCAAUGGAUGGACAGGCAGACUGCUCCUCGUGUGGCUUCCCAUGCCUGGUGAAGCUUCUUUGCAAGGGCAGGGGGUGGCAUGGGCAGUGGGCCCCAGCUCCUACCAGAUUCCAGUACUUCCUCCUCCUGACACCCCUUCCAAAGAGCCCUUUACAGCAGCGUCGUGCUUUUUGACCAGGCCAUGUCUACACGUCCACACACCCACCCAUCCACCCACCAGCACAGAUUCUGUCUGUUCCCCAUUAUCUCCCACAUAAGUCUCAGAACCCUGGGACAUUGAUUUAGGGUGACUUUGCUCAAAGGAACAGAAGGCCUCAACUCAGCCUGGCUGAAACCAUGACGACAUUUGUCAUCUCCCAGCCCCGAAGCACAGAGCAAGACAGGCCCUGGAUGGGUGUUAAGCCUCUGACUUCCGUUCCCCCGAUCCCAUCAGCUCAGCCCCAUCCUCUGUGCUGGCUUCCUUCUCAGGCUGGAGGGAGAUGGCCGCAGCAGCUCUGGGCAUCGCAGACACAGACAUGACACUGUCCCGAGGAGCAGAAGGGCCCUGCCUUCCUCUCUCUCUGAACCUCCCUCUGAAGCCACCAGGCCGUCAGGAAGAAGGAAUUCAACCCAACUGGCUGUCUCUCUGGGUUUUAAAUCAGGCCAUGCUGGUGAACACGAUAACCAACCACCGCCUUCAGCCGGUUUCCUGGGGACGGAGUGACCGGUCAGCUGAGCCAAGUCCUCCCGGGUCCUCCAGUCUCCUCGCUUAUCACCUUGGCCUCACUUUGCUUUUCGCCCAGAAAGCAAGACUGUCAAGACAAUGGCUCCCCUGUGCGGAGUGGGACACCAGAGAGGCCGCCUCCCCUCUCCACGCUUGCUCCCCGUGUCCACUGUGAGGGACUACAGGCCGAAGCCCACAGCGCCUCCUGACCUGCAAAGAUCACGUGGGCGCCGGCGCCUGGGGACCCGCGCGCGAGCCGCAGCUCAGGGCUUCGUGAGCUGGCUGAGCAGGGCGGCCGCCCCACCUCUCCGGGCCUCGGUGUUCUCACCUGGGAGAUGCAGCCAUAACUCCUGCCUCCGAAUCCAGCCGGCCGGUCGCCGGAGCAGUGUUCUGUGUACGGAGGGUUAUGCAAAUUUGGGGGUGGGGGCCCAAGGGGCUCCUCCAGGACCGCAGGCACCAGAGCCUUUGAUUCCAGGGUCAAGGUGGAAGUAACUGAAGAGGACUGUGUCCACCUCGUCCUUCUUUAGUUUACUUUUUUCUUCUUUUUUAAGAAGGGAGCUUAUCAUAAAAGUCUUCUGCAACUGAGCUGGGGUGAAAUGUCUAGAGUCUGCUGCCCUGAGAGGGAGGGAGGGAACAUGAUGGGAACUUUCUGGGCAUAAUUUGCCACUUGCCCACAGCAUCUAGUGGGCAACUCCACUCCUUCCCCUAAGGUGCAUAAAAGGAGGGUCAGAAAGCAAGCAUCAGUUAUGUAGUCAUUCAACAAACUUCACCGAGCACCUUCUGUAUCCUAGAACCCAUGCUAGGUGCUGGGAAGAUGAACGUGGAUGAGGGAGGGCUCCAGAGUGGUGAGGCUCAGGGCCUAUGGGCUUGGACCGCCGGCCCCACAGAAACUGGGCCACCAAACAAGCCAUGUAAGCUCUCUGAACCUCAGUUUCCUGGACUGCAAAAUGGGAACAUUUCCCUUGGGGAAAUCAUAGGACACUAUACAGCACAGGUUGGGGACCUGAGUUUCCCUGGGGCCUGGGUUGGGAGCUUCUGGAGAGGGUGACUCUAGGUGUGUUAGAGAGGGAAGGGAGUGCACCACGUUAUCAGUGUGGACAGGCCAGGCCCCUGCACUGUCACUGCAACCCUCAGAUCUCAGGGAUCUGACACAAGAUUUCUUCUUGUUCACGUGCAGGCCUUGUGCAAGAGCCUUAGCAUCCAGGUGUCCUCCUUGCAGUGACUGAGGUUGCUUUGGCUUGGGGGAUCGCCCAUCUCACCAGAGAGCACAUGGAGAGCUCCCACCUGCUCUUCUCUGCUUCCGUGGGAGGUGACACCAUCUUACUGCCAGUGCAAUGGCCAGAAUGCCUCAUGUGGCCCCACCUGACUGCAGGGAGGGCUGGGAAAUUCAAGGGACCACAUGGAUACUCAGUGAGCAAUAUUUAUAUCUCUCAUGCAGAGGAUGGAGGUGGGAGUGCCUCUCAGGCAGAGGGAGAAACAUAGUCAAAGGUCCAGGGACUAGAGGGAGAUGGGAGUUUGGGAACCUGUUUGCAGAUGAGGGUUCCUACAGUAAUGAGAAAGAGAAAGGUGCAGGCUGGGGGCCGGUGGUGGACAGGCUGUGUCAGUGGGCUGCUUUGAGCUCUGGCUACAGUUGAUUGGAGGACAUGGCUGGAGACAAAGAGGCCUGCUGGAGGCUGUUGCAGGGGUUCUGUGCAAGGGCAACAGAGAAGGGGACACGUCCUUUAGUUGUCAAAAUAGAUUAGCUGAAUCAAGAGAUCAGCUGAAAGUUGGGGAGUUGGGUCGAGUUCAGGACAAUCUCCAGCCUUCUCCCUUGGGUGACUGCCAUUCCCCGAGAUGGGGAUCAGGGAGGCUGGAGAAGCUCUGGGGGGACAAUGGGAUGCUCAGUGGUACAUCUAUCUGCCCAGGAGGCAGUGGGAUACACAAUUCCAGAACUUCAGAGAAAGGCUUGGGCCGAAGACUUGUCAGCCCAUGGAGCACAGCCAUCCUGCCCCUCCGCGGGAGCGGUGGGAGCUCUGCUUGUCGGGCUUGGCCACCCUCCUGCAGCCCCUGCUAGGCUCUGCUCGGAGGACACAGGGAAACCAGCCAGUCCUGAAAGAACAAAGGGGAGGCUGACAGAUUAAAAAGCACCAUGUGUUAUCUCAGCAACUGAAGUUGUGAUCAAUUUCCAGUCUGAACACAUCCAAUCCCGGGGCGGGCCAGGCUGAGAGGGGGUGAGGGACAAAAAUGGAGGCGCUAAUUAUGGUAAAUGGAAGCGCACUUUAAACUCAAGGCAGGGACACAUGGCAUCCAUAUCAUGCUUUGCAACUGUGGAGGUGAUUGCAACAUGAUUAAUCCCCUUCAUCUUUGGUCUUUGGGAUUUGGAAUCCACUGUGUUGUGAAGGGCUCCCUUCUGAAACUGGCUCUCUCAGCUCUUCCUCCGCAGACAGGAGCUCUUCACAUAAGCAUCAUAAAAAGCCUCCUGCAUUAUUGAAUAGUAGGCGUAGUUUUCGUGUGCCCUGAAGUCCUCUGCGGUUUUCUCUGUUGCACUCUGACAUUUCAAAGGUUCCUUUCAAGUGAGCACAGACCCUUGGUUCAGCCUCCAGGGAGGUGUCCCUGAGGCCCUGAACACAGGAGUUAUUGAAGAUGAAUCCGAGAUGGGAUCUUUACAAGUUAAUCAAUACCUGCCUUUUAAUCUAGCCAUUCUGCAGAUGGGUAAAGUGGAGGUGCAGAGGGGUUAAGUCAUGCGCCUGGUUCACUAAGAGCAAAACCAAAACCAAAUCAGGAUGCAAAUGGGAACUAGAGGUCCUGCUGCGGAUGAUGUAAAUCCUGGCUUCACCUUCCUCUGCAGAGGCGAACAGCCUGCUGGAAACAGAGGAAGAAGCCCCACCGGAAGACCCCUGCCCCAAAGUGGCACGCUUGGCAAAUCCAGCCACACUUGUCGGAGCCUCUCUGUCCCGUGAAAGGCCUGAGCACCUUUUAUUAAACAGAGGUCUAUUCAACAAUAAAUAUUUCUCACGCACAGCCAGGGGAGGUACCACAAUUGGCUCUUGCCCAGCCUGGCUGAGUCAGCAGGAAAUUAGCCAAGGUGCAGAGAAGCUUGUGUUUUGUGGUUUUGGUGGCAAUUUUUCAAAUAGGCUGGAAAGCACCAAGGACCAAAAAACCCACUUGAAUGCCACCACUCCUGUGAGUCCCGCUCUUGGGAAAAGUCGGUCAGGUUCCUGGGGUGCUGGGAACCUCCUGCAGGUGGAAGAAAGGGUGGCUGAACGUUCCGGGGCACCUGGAGAGGUGUUCACACUAAAGCUCUCUCACCUGUGAUUUCCUUCUCUAUACAAUGGGACGAAUCACGUUCAAUCCUCAGAGCUGCCGUGGGGGUGAGAUUUUCUGCUCAAUGAAGAUGGUUUUAUAGGGAGAGCAAUCGCCUUGGAUUAAACCCUCCCCAUUAAGUUAGGACUUCUGAUCUGAGUCCUCGGGCAGGACCCUUUUUCUGAGCCCACUGCCUCUAUAAAGUGGUGCAUUAAUACCUCCCACAUGGAUCUGUGAAAUGAGGGACUGGACAGAAUGAGAGUGUUUGUACAUUGCGACCCCCUAGCGUUUGCGCAGUAUUGCUCAUUUUGUCCUAUUACUCGGGUGCUUUUCCCAGGACAGGUCCUCACGGAGGGCGCCCAGCUGCCUGUGGGACCUUGUUUAUUUGCGUUAGGCUUUUAGCCGAGGCUGGGGAUAGCUCCUUCGGUGUUUCACAGAAAAGGGCUGGUUCUGUUGGCCCUUCACGUAAUUAAUAUUCCAAAUAAGAAUUAUGCAGUUGUUUCUAUGAAUAUUUGAUUCCUUUAACUCUUCAAAUAUCAGCUCAGCUCUGGGGCUGAAUGGAAGAUGAAGUAACUGUUUUCACCAUGACACUGCCGGGGAGGCAGCUGGAGGUCCUGAUCAGUCUGAGAAGUAAUGACUUGGUUGACAAGAUGCAAUGUUGGUAUUGCUGGUUCCCAAAGGGAGAGAGAAACUCUUUUUGAAGCAAGUAUGGAGGAAAUUGACUUCUGAGUCCACAGCCCCUGGGAGGCAGGAGGGAAGCCCUGUGUGGAGGCUGGUUUCAGGUAAGCUCCCAACUGGAAGGUUGGUGCCUGACAGGUGGGACUCACAGAGGCCCAGCCUUGCGGGGAGACCGAGGGCAGGGGUGGAGAGGGUGACUCUGGGCUCCCCAGUGGGCAUCUGUGGAAGGCAGACAAGAACCAGGACCAGGAGGAUUAGGUGUGCCCCUCACCUUGGUGCAAAGGCAAUGGUCCUCCCGGCUCUGGAAAGGGGGACACCAGGCCUUUUGGUGCAGGAGAUGGCCUUCUGACUUCUUGGCCUCUCAGGUCCUGGACUCUUCCCUCCACAACUCUUCUCCCGUGGGGCCAACCAGAGGCCAGGUACAUCACAACUCCUGAGAUACAGACUGGCUUGGGCCAGGCAAUAAAGGAGUAAACAGGAAAUGACAAAUUGCUCUGCAGAUUGUCACCUGAAAGAGCUCAUGGUCCUGUCGGCAUGUGCGGCCGGGGCAUGAAUAUGCAAACCCAGAGCAAGAUGGCUGGGCGCCACCCAGGCUCCUGCAGGAGACCCCCGACUGAGGGCUGCAGCCCUUUCAGAGCUAACCUGCUGGGUGUGGGGCUCUCAGGUGACCUCUGGCCCAUUUCUGGGUUGGGUGUACCCCAAACAGAGCACUGAUUCAAGGGCCCAUGGGCCCACUCCAUCUCCUGCCCAACCGUUUGCAAAGCUGUGUGCCUUUGGUCAACAACAUGAGCCUCAGUUUUCUCACCUGUAAAAUGGAGCUAUAUCCUCUUAGCCUUACCCAGAACCUCACAGGAACAGCUUAGCUGGAGUGCCUGGAAGCCAUCUGUACAGAGCCACAGAAAGGGAAACCCCUGGACAUCUCUCCUGCAGUCUGACUGGAUUGGCUCCCACUAGGUUGUCCUUUUAUUUUUCUGACUAGUUGCCAAUCAAAGAUUGUUUCAAAAACUAGACUAUUUCACAAUAAAACUCUUAUUUCUGGCUCCUGUGCCUAAGGACCUGGAGCUGCUAGCAGGCACUGAGACCUGGCUGCCUGCUGGGAUGGGCGUGUGUGCUCCACAGUGCCUCAGACCCCACCAUUCCCCAUUAGCCACCUCUGGUCCCCUCAAUAGUGUCUUGGCCUGAGGUAAUGUGCAAGGCCCCCAGCACAGUGCCUGGCAUAAGGUCAGGGUAGGAUAACAUCUCCUCCCGUCUCUGUGUGGAGGUGAGGUGGGGAGAGCACCCUGUGCUCCUGGAGAGGGGCUCCUGCUCUCCCUCAUCUGCCCUCCCCUCCUCUGACCUGUCUCCUUGCUCUGCCCAUGUCCUUGGGAGGCUGGGGUAGAUUGGAGACCAGGCCUCUGAGAGGUGCCAGGAGGUCAGCCCCCUCCUGAUGUAGCCCAUGGGUUUAGGCCCCCAUUUGUGCCUUGGCUGAGUACCUCCCACUUCAACCUCCUCAAAUGCUCAGGAUGCCUGAGGCUUGGGAGGUGACAGAGCCACCUGUCCUCUCCUCAUAGACCUGGGGAGGGAAGGUGGAGGGACAGGAGGAGAAAGGCUUUCACCAGACUUUCAAUCAGGGUGUGGAGGGCCUCCAAAGCUCUUCCCUGGGGCCAGCCUGGGGCCAAGGGUGGGGUGUGGGCAGUUCCUUGGGGUCUUGAGAGGUAAGGAGAGUGGGAUUCAGAGAAGAGGGUCAGGUGCCAGGUAAGGGGAGGGGUGUGGAAGGCAGAUUUGGAGGCCAAGCUUUCCUUGCCUAAGGGGGCUCUCCAUGGCUGUGCUGGGCAGCUUCUCUCCAUCCUCCGGCCCCUGACCCAUCUGCACCCCCUCUGUCCCCAGACACUCAUGCACCAAAACCAUAGUCACAGAUUGGGACACUGCAGGGUCAGAGAGGCCUCAGAGCUCCGCCAGACCACGGGGGUUUUUUGGGAUGCUUGGACCAAGAGCUAAAUACAAUGGGGCUGCUGAGAAGGUUAUCAAGAAAGACAAAGAAAACUGAUAAAUCUUAAAAACUUAUCCCGGUGAGAAAGCCCACUGGGUCCUAGUCCUUAAAAUCUGAUACUCGUUAAUCUCCCUGAUAACAAGGACAAAAUACCCACCAGUACCUGGCUGCAAU